GCCGGUGGCCUAACCCCUUGUGGGAGGGAGCCGUCGAAGGUGGGACCGGCGAUUGGGACGAAGUCGUAACAAGGUAGCCGUACCGGAAGGUGCGGCUGGAUCACCUCCUUU
rnacentral:rRNA from 1 species